rnacentral:lncRNA from 1 species
CACACAGUACCGUGGCCCUGGAAGCCUUCCUUCAGAACCCAUCAUCUAAAAGGGAGAUUUUAAAGAAGCAUGUGAGUAUGUUGGUUUCCAGCUACAGGACCCAAGGAUUUGGUUUGUAAAAUUCCCCAAAGGUAGGUUUGCUGUUUAGCCCGGUAAGCAUAGCCUCUAUUGUAAGCCAGAGGCACAGGGGUGUUUUCUAGGUGUUUGUGGGAAAGCACAAUGAAUGAGAGCACGAAUGACUAAGAAAACAUAAAGGGGCCAACUAUCCUCCUCAGGGAGAUAAUAAGGCAAAAAGCAAACUCCCAGGAUGAAAAAACUGACUCCCUCUUCCAGGUGUGUGUGUGUGUGUGUGUGUGUGUGUGUGUGUGUGUGUGUGUGUGUGUGUGUGCCUGCCUGUAUGUGUGUGUGUUUAUGUGUAUGUCUAUGUGUGUGUCUGUAUGUGUCUAUGUGUGUGUUUAUGUUUGUGUGUCAGUGUGUGUCUGCCUGUCUGUGUGUCUCUGUGUGUGUAUGUCUGUGUGUGUGUGUAUCUGGGUAUGUGUGUUUGUGUAUCUGUGUGUCUUUGUGUGUGUGCCUGUGUGUGUCUGUCAGUCUGAGCUCUCUGUUUCUGACAAUUCCAUUAAUCCAUCCCUUCUUGCUCUUCCGUUUUGCAAGGGGCCCAGUCUGCCAAACCUGGCUGUUAAUCUUGCCACCAGAGGGCGCUGCAGACUAAAGACCAACAACACCACCAAAAAUAAAGAUCCUUAAGGGCUGGAGGGGAGACAGGAGACUUCACUGAAUCUAAGGAAUUUGAGCUUUGAAGUGUUUGGGACAAAGAAGGAAGACCUUUCCUAGCAAGGUAAAUAUCAUGAGU